AUAUUCACAUUACACUGGAUUCAUCAUCUGGGGCUUUGGUUUGUCCAGUCCUAAGCAGGGUAUGAACCCAGCAGGUUAAAGGAGUCUCCUCAGGGCAGCCAGUCCGGGUGUUUAAGAGGCUUCGAUUUAGUGCAAAUCACUCUUUUACAGCAAAAGCACUUCCAAAAGCUCUCAAAGUCAUUUCCACCCAGAACCUCGAGAUUUCCAAGGAUCCUGUCCAAAACUCUGCAGGAUCAAGCUUUGUACCUGCCCUUCCUGGUGCAAGGUUUGGCUCAGUUGCUGUUCCCACUGCAGAUGUCUUUGAAAACGUUCAAGCUGUCGUUGGUAGAUGGAAAAGGAGAUGCACAGCGUGUGACCCCUUUGUGAAGGAACUGUCUCUCUGCUCCAACACACGCUCAGAUCUUGUUAUUAUUCUCUGUGGUGGUGCGAUUUUGUUUCUUUUUUUGGAAAUCAUCCCUACAGACUCGUUGUGAUUAAAUGUCUGAUGUUUAAAGCUUCCAUGAGCCUUUUAAGUCCUGUUUUGCAGUUUGGGCUUUAGGCCUGGGAGGUCUACAGUUCAAAUCUCAGCACAUUCCUCACUGCUGUUUUUAAUUAUGAUUUGAUAUGGACAUUAUUGCUGCAGGGAUCUCUCUCACACUUCAGAACGCACAGUUUACCAAAAGUCAGGAGACGCCAAUCAAAUUGGAUCCCAGUUCAAAAGAACAAGGCCUGUAGCGGCCUCAUUUUGUGCCCAGAGA
rnacentral:lncRNA from 1 species